CAAUCAAAUUAAACCAUAGCUUUAACAUUUUGCAUAUAUAUGGAGCGGUUGUGUUAGUAAGUCAACGUUCCUGACCUGACUUCCACUGCUGACAACAAAUGUAAGUUUUAGAUUCAAUGUAUUAUAAUUGUUAAAAUUUCAUUUAAUCGUCUAUGUUGUAAUCAGUAUUAAAUUGUUUUAAUGUUCGCCGACCUUAAACUUAACAUUUAAGCUGAAUAAACUAUUUAUGAUUUAUCUAUGAUUUAUCAUAUAAUUAUUUGAUUUAGUGGUCAUACAUAUUGACAGUUGCAGAUGCGUAUAAGCUUGAGAUUGUAUUAGAAUACUAUGACCAUUAACGUCACUCGGGAUUAGUAAUUAAAACCUCACGUGGACUCAGUUAAAAUAGGUUCACGUGUAUAUCAUGUGAUGCUCACGUGCAUCUCACGUGCAAUCCACAUGAUUUUUUCAUAUGACGAUUACCGGAAUUGUUUCUAAAAUAAAUUUUAGCAGCGUGAACCUCGCGGGAACUGAAUUCCAAUGAAAUUAAAAAUUUUCGCGAAAUCAUCUUUAUUUCAAAACUGAGAUAUAACCAUGAAACUGUAAGAGAAUUAUCAAUAGAUAUAUCGAGAAAAUUAUUUUACCAUAUAUUUCUUUGACUUUGUUUAACACUAUUUGUUCUCUAAUUUAUAUACUGUAUAACAGUUGAAAUUGAAUAAACGUAUGCAUUGAAAUCCUUUUAAAAAGCGAGUUCAUAUUGCAAAUUAAAGCACAGUAUAACCAUGAUUACAUUUGUUUUUCCCUAUUUUCCACCCAGUUUAACGUACAUUUGAAUCAUUCGAUUACAUGAACAAGUCAGGAAUUCCUAAAUUAUUCAUUAUACAUUUAACAAAGAUACCAUGAUUAAAAUUGUUUACAUCAGAAUCAUUUUGUCAAUAAAAGACUCAAUCGUCACACUCAAAUCUAUUCAAAAGAUUAAAUGAGGGACGGAGUUGAAGACAAAAAAAGACUAACAAUUUUUACAUAUACAGUUCAAGUAAUGUAAUCCUAGAUAGCACAUCUUUAGUAUUUCGAAAAAUGUGAAGCCAGUUUUUGCAUCCGUUAAUAUACAGAAGUGACCAUAUCUAUAAUAAGUCAUGUCAGGACAUAAAUACUGACUACAGAGGCUGGUAAGAAAUAUACGAAUCAUAAAAUUCUUAAGCUAUUUGUAUCAAACCUUACUAGUUGGCCAUUAAAAAUUUUAAAGUUCGUUUUACCUAAUUUCGAUGAUAUCAUUUUUAUUUUUAGUUACCAGUAAAACAUACACAAUUAUGAAGGCAGUACUAGUAUUUGGAAUUUUUUUGGGAACAGCAUUUUGUAAGUAUUUUAAAUAACAAAACCUCUUCAC
rnacentral:lncRNA from 1 species